ACUUUCUCUCUCUCUCUCUAUCUCUCAACCUAGCCAAGGUUGCUGCCACAAUCACCUUUACGCGACGCCGCACCAACUAGUGUCGUGGCUUCUUUCCCCAAUGAUUCCUUUUGCUCUUCUCUCAACCCCAACUGUGCUGUCAUCGACGCCACUGCCCAAUGAUGGAGCCCUAGCCAAGCUACAUUGCCAGAAAAGAUUUUGAAGCAUUCAUGAGGAAUUGAAGUCAUUUAUCUUGAAGUUAAUGGGACUAAUUUUCAGUUUCACUAAAGCUUUAAAUUUGAUAUAUGUAUUGUCCAAUUUUGACACUUAGUGUCUUUGUGUAUUUAUACAAAACCAUUACAAGGAUGUCUGGUACAAACCAAGAUAAUGUAAGAAAAUGCAGUUAUUCUUUUCUUAAUAUUUCAAUAACUACAAUGACGUUUGUGAUUUAUCUUUUGAAAUAUUAUCAAGCCAAUUUCUGUGAUGGGGAGUGGCAUUCUGAAAUUGAUGCUCAAUUGUUAUUUGUGCUUCAAUGAAGGGGAAUGACAUUUUGAAA